rnacentral:rRNA from 1 species
CCUACGGGUGACAGCAGUGAGGAAUAUUGGUCAAUGGGAGCGAGCCUGAACCAGCCAUGUAGCGUGAAGGACGACUGCCCUACGAGUUGUAAACUUCUUUUAUACAGGAAUAAAGUGAGGCACGUGUGCCUUUUUGUAUGUACUUUACGAAUAAGGAUCGGCUAACUCCGUGCCAGCAGCCGCGGUAAUACGGAGGAUCCGAGCGUUAUCCGGAUUUAUUGGGUUUAAAGGGAGCGUAGAUGGGUUUAUAAGUCAGUUGUGAAAGUUUGCGGCUCAACAUGAGAAUUGCAAUUGAUACUGGCAGUCGUGAGUACAGAUGAGGUAGGCGGAAUGCGUGGUGUAGCGGUGAAAUGCAUAGAUAUCACGAAGAACACCGAUUGCGAAGGCAGCUUACUAAGCUGCCACUGACAUUGAUGCACGAAAGUGUGGGGAUCAAACAGGAUUAGAUACCCCUGUAGUC